GGGAGUAUAGCUCAGCAGUGCAGCGCCUGCCUGGCAAGCAUGAGGUCCUGAGUUUGAGUCCCAGGACUCACA
rnacentral:tRNA from 1 species